CAAUAGCGUAUACUAAUGUUGUUGCAGUUAAAAAGCUCGUAGUUGAACUUCUGGUAGGAGUGUCCCGGCCUUUUUGUUUUUACAAAUUGUAUGCUGUGUGACAUCUCUGGCCAUCCUUCUUCUUUGUUUAAAGAAGAUCUUUCACUGUAAAAAAAUUAGGGUGUUCAAAGCAAAAGUUUCUUUGGAAUAUAUUAGUAUGGGAUGAUAAGAUAGGCUCUAGAUGCUAUUUUGUUGGUUUGCACAUUUAGAGAAUGAUUGACAGGGACAGUUGGGGGUAUUCGUAUUUACAUGUCAGAGGUGAAAUUCUUGGAUUUUGGAAAGACGAACUACUGCGAAAGCAUUUACCAAGGAUGUUUUCAUUAA
rnacentral:rRNA from 1 species